rnacentral:rRNA from 1 species
AUUGAACGCUGGCGGCAGGCCUAACACAUGCAAGUCGAGCGGAUGACGGGAGCUUGCUCCUUGAUUCAGCGGCGGACGGGUGAGUAAUGCCUAGGAAUCUGCCUGGUAGUGGGGGACAACGUUUCGAAAGGAACGCUAAUACCGCAUACGUCCUACGGGAGAAAGCAGGGGACCUUCGGGCCUUGCGCUAUCAGAUGAGCAUAGGUCGGAUUAGCUAGUAGGUGAGGUAAUGGCUCACCUAGGCGACGAUCCGUAACUGGUCUGAGAGGAUGAUCAGUCACACUGGAACUGAGACACGGUCCAGACUCCUACGGGAGGCAGCAGUGGGGAAUAUUGGACAAUGGGCGAAAGCCUGAUCCAGCCAUGCCGCGUGUGUGAAGAAGGUCUUCGGAUUGUAAAGCACUUUAAGUUGGGAGGAAGGGCAGUAAGCUAAUACCUUGCUGUUUUGACGUUACCGACAGAAUAAGCACCGGCUAACUCUGUGCCAGCCGCCGCGGUAAUAC